rnacentral:rRNA from 1 species
ACACUGAAUACAUAGGUGUGCGAGGCGAACCGGGUGAACUGAAACAUCUCAGUAGCUCGAGGAAAAGACAUCAACCGAGAUUCCGAAAGUAGUGGCGAGCGAAAUCGGAGUAGCCCUCGUGUUUUAGCAGUUGGCAUAUCAGAACGGAAUGGAAAGUCCGGCCAUAGCGGGUGAUAGCCCCGUAUGAGAAAUGUCGAUUGUGGAACUAGGCACGAAUAGAGUAGGGCGGGACACGUGAAAUCCUGUCUGAAUAUGGGGGGACCAUCCUCCAAGGCUAA